UUUUCCCAUCGCAGGCCGGGGGGCGCCAGCGCCCCGGCCAGCCCGCCCGCGGGGAGCGGCCCCGCAGGGUCCCUCCCCUCGGCGCACGAACAAAACCCCGGCGCGGGACGCGCCAAGGACCAUGAGAACAAAGAGCGCGCCCCGUCGGCCCCGGGAACGGGGCGCGGGGGGGCGUCUUCUUUCGCUAUGAGCCAAAAA
rnacentral:rRNA from 1 species